GGGCCUUUAGCUCAGUCGGUUAGAGCUGCAGACUCAUAAUCUGUAGGUCCGGGGUUCAAGUCCCUGAAGGCCCA
rnacentral:tRNA from 1 species